rnacentral:rRNA from 1 species
GCAGUGGGGAAUUUUGGACAAUGGGCGAAAGCCUGAUCCAGCAAUGCCGCGUGUGUGAAGAAGGCCUUCGGGUUGUAAAGCACUUUUGUCCGGAAAGAAAUCCUUGGCUCUAAUACAGUCGGGGGAUGACGGUACCGGAAGAAUAAGCACCGGCUAACUACGUGCCAGCAGCCGCGGUAAUACGUAGGGUGCGAGCGUUAAUCGGAAUUACUGGGCGUAAAGCGUGCGCAGGCGGUUUGCUAAGACCGAUGUGAAAUCCCCGGGCUCAACCUGGGAACUGCAUUGGUGACUGGCAGGCUAGAGUAUGGCAGAGGGGGGUAGAAUUCCACGUGUAGCAGUGAAAUGCGUAGAGAUGUGGAGGAAUACCGAUGGCGAAGGCAGCCCCCUGGGCCAAUACUGACGCUCAUGCACGAAAGCGUGGGGAGCAAACAGGAUUAGAUACCCUGGUAGUCCACGCCCUAAACGAUGUCAACUAGUUGUUGGGGAUUCAUUUCCUUAGUAACGUAGCUAACGCGUGAAGUUGACCGCCUGGGGAGUACGGUCGCAAGAUUAAAACUCAAAGGAAUUGACGGGGACCCGCACAAGCGGUGGAUGAUGUGGAUUAAUUCGAUGCAACGCGAAAAACCUUACCUACCCUUGACAUGGUCGGAAUCCCGCUGAGAGGUGGGAGUGCUCGAAAGAGAACCGGCGCACAGGUGCUGCAUGGCUGUCAUCAGCUCGUGUCGUGAGAUGUUGGGUUAAGUCCCGCAACGAGCGCAACCCUUGUCCUUAGUUGCUACGCAAGAGCACUCUAAGGAGACUGCCGGUGACAAACCGGAGGAAGGUGGGGAUGACGUCUAGUCCUCAUGGCCCUUAUGGGUAGGGCUUCACACGUCAUACAAUGGUCGGAACAGAGGGUUGCCAACCCGCGAGGGGGAGCUAAUCCCAGAAAACCGAUCGUAGUCCGGAUUCCACUCUGCAACUCGAGUGCAUGAAGCUGGAAUCGCUAGUAAUCGCGGAUCAGCAUGCCGCGGUGAAUACGUUCCCGGGCCUUGUACACACCGC